UUGCUGGGGGAUUAGUGGCGAACGGGUGAGUAACACGUGAGUAACCUGCCCUUGACUCUGGGAUAAGCCUGGGAAACUGGGUCUAAUACCGGAUAUGACUCCUCAUCGCAUGGUGGGGGGUGGAAAGCUUUUGUGGUUUUGGAUGGACUCGCGGCCUAUCAGCUUGUUGGUGGGGUAAUGGCCUACCAAGGCGACGACGGGUAGCCGGCCUGAGAGGGUGACCGGCCACACUGGGACUGAGACACGGCCCAGACUCCUACGGGAGGCAGCAGUGGGGAAUAUUGCACAAUGGGCGAAAGCCUGAUGCAGCGACGCCGCGUGAGGGAUGACGGCCUUCGGGUUGUAAACCUCUUUCAGUAGGGAAGAAGCCGUAAGGUGACGGUACCUGCAGAAGAAGCGCCGGCUAACUACGUGCCAGCAGCCGCGGUAAUACGUAGGGCGCAAGCGUUAUCCGGAAUUAUUGGGCGUAAAGAGCUCGUAGGCGGUUUGUCGCGUCUGCUGUGAAAGACCGGGGCUCAACUCCGGUUCUGCAGUGGGUACGGGCAGACUAGAGUGCAGUAGGGGAGACUGGAAUUCCUGGUGUAGCGGUGAAAUGCGCAGAUAUCAGGAGGAACACCGAUGGCGAAGGCAGGUCUCUGGGCUGUAACUGACGCUGAGGAGCGAAAGCAUGGGGAGCGAACAGGAUUAGAUACCCUGGUAGUCCAUGCCGUAAACG
rnacentral:rRNA from 1 species